GGGUAGUUUGACUGGGGCGGUCUCCUCCCAAAGAGUAACGGAGGAGCACGAAGGUGGGCUAAUCACGGUUGGACAUCGUGAGGUUAGUGCAAUGGCAUAAGCCCGCUUAACUGCGAGAAUGACGGUUCGAGCAGGUGCGAAAGCAGGUCAUAGUGAUCCGGUGGUUCUGUAUGGAAGGGCCAUCGCUCAACGGAUAAAAGGUACUCCGGGGAUAACAGGCUGAUACCGCCCAAGAGUUCAUAUCGACGGCGGUGUUUGGCACCUCGAUGUCGGCUCAUCACAUCCUGGGGCUGAAGUCGGUCCCAAGGGUAUGGCUGUUCGCCAUUUAAAGUGGUACGCGAGCUGGGUUUAGAACGUCGUGAGACAGUUCGGUCCCUAUCUGCCGUGGGCGUUGGAAGAUUGAAGGGGGCUGCUCCUAGUACGAGAGGACCGGAGUGGACGAACCUCUGGUGUUCGGGUUGUGUCGCCAGACGCAUUGCCCGGUAGCUAAGUUCGGAAUUGAUAAGCGCUGAAAGCAUCUAAGCGCGAAGCGAGCCCUGAGAUGAGUCUUCCCUGAUACUUUAAGUAUCCUAAAGGGUUGUUCGAGACUAGAACGUUGAUAGGCAGGGUGUGUAAGCGUUGUGAGGCGU
rnacentral:rRNA from 1 species